AUGUCGAAAUGGUGGAAACUUGAUGCUGCACGUCUCUUCUGCUGGGAACAAAAGUCAAAUCACACUCUUCUGUUCUUACUUCUUUCCAACACCAGCAGAAUCUGGCAUCGGUUGUUUUCACUCGCUGUGUUUGUUUACUGUCGUUUCUUCUUGUCAGCCAAAACUCCUUGCAUGGAGAUACUGAUCUUUGUAGCAGCACAUGCAGGUUGUCUGAAAUCUGAACUCCCCACACUGCACGGGUGUUGUUUUCUUCUAAGUUCUGACACUGUUAACAAGCAUCAUGGUCGAGAAGUGCUGCGAACAGGCAACUGUGGUUCAGCUUGCGGAGUUAGGCAGUUGCUGACUCCUGACUUUAAAGCCAUGCAGGUCGCCUGA
rnacentral:rRNA from 1 species